rnacentral:pre_miRNA from 1 species
AUGAUACUUCCUCCGUCCCAUAUUAAGCGUCACAACUUGUCUAGAUACGCACGUAUGUAGACGCAUUUUAGUGUGCAGGUACAUGCGUGUCUAGCCAAAGUUGUGACACAAUAUGGGACGGAGGGAGUAGUAA